UGGUGCUCCACAGUAAAACACCCCUGCCAUUAGAGAAGAGACAAGUUAUUACUAUUGUUUUUUGUUUCUUCUUUUCUAAAGAUAUAAAUAAAGAAUAAAAGGAGUAUAUACAGGAUCUGAUUUCUUAUCAUCAGAAAGAGCAUCGGUAUACUAUUUCUACCAUUUCUCCAAUAUCGAUCCGUUCCUUUCUGGAGUAUAUGCCCUUCAUCUUUUUCCAAAGAAAGAAAAGAAAGAAAGCUAGCUCUCAAUUUGAGGCAAAAAGCUUUCAUAACAGACAGUGGGGCAAGCAAGUGAUGAUUAAUUCUUGAGUCAUCAUCAGGAAAAAAGCACUAGCACCCACUAUUAUUUUAUCCGUUUAUAGUUCAUAGGAAUUUUUUAACUUGGAUAAUGCAGAAAAGGCUCUGAGAGUGAAGACAUGAAAUAGCAUUGGAAUAAUUUAUGUGCUAAGUUAGGUAAAAUAACACAAGAAAAGGGCUUACCAACUCGAGAAUUGGGGUG
rnacentral:misc_RNA from 1 species